rnacentral:rRNA from 1 species
CAGCCGCCGCGGGAAUACAGAGGGUGCGAGCGUUAAUCGGAUUUACUGGGCGCAAAGCGUGCGUAGGCGGCUUUUUAAGUCGGAUGUGAAAUCCCUGAGCUUAACUUAGGAAUUGCAUUCGAUACUGGGAAGCUAGAGUAUGGGAGAGGAUGGUAGAAUUCCAGGUGUAGCGGUGAAAUGCGUAGAGAUCUGGAGGAAUACCGAUGGCGAAGGCAGCCAUCUGGCCUAAUACUGACGCUGAGGUACGAAAGCAUGGGGAGCAAACAGGAUUAGAUACCCCUGUAGUCCCUGUCUCUUAUAC